rnacentral:rRNA from 1 species
UACGUAGGGUGCAAGCGUUGUCCGGAAUUAUUGGCGUUAAAGAGCUCGUAGGCGGUUUGUUCGACGUCGAAUGAUUGAAAACCCGGGGCUCAACCCCGGGCCGCAUUGAUACGGGCAGACUAGAGUUCGGUAGGGGAGUCUGGAAUUCCUGGUGUAGCGGUGGAAUGCGCAGAUAUCAGAGGAACACCAAUAGCGAAGGCAGCUCGCCUGGGACGUUACUGACACUGAGGCGACGAAAGCGUGGGGAGCGAAC